UUCCACAGCCAUAUCACCCUGCAGCCCAAGACUGGUUGCCCACUGAAGCUAAACAGGUUUGAGCUUGGUCAGUACCUGGAUGGGAGACCUCCUGGGAAAACUAGGUUGCUGUUGGAA
rnacentral:rRNA from 1 species